UCUAACGCCGCAGUGGAUUAGAGCAUCUGAGAAGCUCUGGAAAAAACCUCUCAGGAAAACAACGACUUCAGCAGGACCCACUAGCCAAGGAAAGGGGGAUAAAAUACAUAGCAAAGGGAAGGAAAAACACGCACCUCUGGGAUGCUGCAGGUCCUGUUGCAGCCGCCGCCAUCCCUCGAAGUCACCGUUGCUUCUGCCAGAGCUGCUACUAGCGCGCUUAUCAGCUCCGCCACCGCCCAAGGGGGAAACUUCUGCAGAAACCCCAACCGAGCUUCCGUCGACUGUUCUACAUUUGGCCUGUGCCCAUGGCCAUGUGGAAGUGGUCACUCUCUUGCUGGGGAGAAGAUGCCUGAUUGACAUCUGUGACAGACUAAACAGGACGUCUUUAAUGAAGGAGGGAAACACUCCACUUUUGUUUGCCAUAAAUUCUGGGAGACAGCAUGUGGUGGAAUUCUUAUUGAAGAACCAGGCAAAUAUACAUUCCG
rnacentral:lncRNA from 1 species